UACGUAGGGUGCGAGCGUUAAUCGGAAUUACUGGGCGUAAAGCGUGCGCAGGCGGUUUUGUAAGUCAGAUGUGAAAUCCCCGGGCUUAACCUGGGAACUGCGUUUGAAACUACAAGGCUAGAGUGUGGCAGAGGGGGGUGGAAUUCCACGUGUAGCAGUGAAAUGCGUAGAGAUGUGGAGGAACACCGAUGGCGAAGGCAGCCCCCUGGGCUGAGAUUGACGCUCAGGCACGAAAGCGUGGGGAGCAAACAGG
rnacentral:rRNA from 1 species